rnacentral:rRNA from 1 species
CAGUCGCCACGGGAAUACGUAGGUGGCAAGCGUUGUCCGGAAUUAUUGGGCGUAAAGGGCUCGCAGGCGGUUUCUUAAGUCUGAUGUGAAAGCCCCCAGCUCAACCGGGGAGGGUCAUUGGAAACUGGGAAACUUGAGUGCAGAAGAGGAGAGUGGAAUUCCACGUGUAGCGGUGAAAUGCGUAGAGAUGUGGAGGAACACCAGUGGCGUAGGCGACUCUCUGGUCUGUAACUGACGCUGAGGAGCGAAAGCGUGGGGAGCGAACAGGAUUAGAUACCCCCGUAGUCCCUGUCUCUUAUAC